AGAGUUUGAUCAUGGCUCAGAACGAACGCUGGCGGCGCGCCUAACACAUGCAAGUCGAGCGGACCCGCAAGGGUUAGCGGCGAACGGGUGAGAAACACGUGGAUAAUCUGCCCAGGAGACCGGGAUAACUCGGCGAAAGCCGAGCUAAUACCGGAUGAGCCCACAGGUCGGAAUCGACCAGAGGGAAAAGGGGGAAAGACGCUCCUGGAUGAGUCCGCGGCCCAUCAGCUAGUUGGCGGGGUAAAAGCCCACCAAGGCAACGACGGGUAGCUGGUCUGAGAGGACGACCAGCCACACUGGAACUGAGACACGGUCCAGACUCCUACGGGAGGCAGCAGUGGGGAAUCUUGCGCAAUGGGCGAAAGCCUGACGCAGCGACGCCGCGUGUGCGAUGAAGGUCUUCGGAUCGUAAAGCACUGUCGCGAGGGAAGAAACCUGACGGUACCUCGAGAGGAAGCACCGGCUAACUCUGUGCCAGCAGCCGCGGUAAUACAGAGGGUGCGAGCGUUGUUCGGAAUUAUUGGGCGUAAAGCGCGAGUAGGCGGCUUGUUAAGUCGCGUGUGAAAGCUCCCGGCUCAACCGGGAAAGUGCGCGCGAAACUGGCGAGCUUGAGUCCUGGAGAGGGUGGCGGAAUUCCCGGUGUAGAGGUGAAAUUCGUAGAUAUCGGGAGGAACACCAGAGGCGAAGGCGGCCACCUGGAAAGAGACUGACGCUGAGAAGCGAAAGCGUGGGGAGCAAACAGGAUUAGAUACCCUGGUAGUCCACGCCGUAAACGAUGAGUGCUAGCUGUGUCGGGAGUU
rnacentral:rRNA from 1 species